AGAAGGAUGAAGUUUUUUCAGAGAACAAACACUGUCUGUCUCCGGCGACAGUGUUCUUACACUAAGUAACAACAACAUCAAACUCUGGUGGAUUAUAAACAAGAUCGGAGAGAUAUGCACUUUGAUUUGAAGAAGAAUGAAGAAGGAUUCACAGGAUCUUUCUUGUUACAGAGGUUGUCUUUGUUACUCAAUACGUCUUAAUAUUCCACUUCAGUCUUCCCAAUCCUUACUUAAGUCAUCAAUGAUGGUGGAGAUGUAUACAUAUGGUUCUUCGCAUGUCUAAUUUUAGGGAUGACCACCGGCUUAACCACAACAAUGGGACAAUCCUCUGAGGCUGCUUGCGAAGGCCAAACUCAAAGAGCAAUCCAGCUUAUCUCUUUCUCCCUCCUCACACUGAGACGAGACCUAUGGAGUUUGGUGAAACCGACGACUGCUGUUGGCCAUGGAAGAUACACAUAUCACAAGGAGCCAAUCGAGAUGUUUGUUCUGUUGGAUACGUGGAAGCUGCUUGCAGAUCAAACUCAAUGGCCAAGACUGUACAUGAUGAGCUAGUGGAAUUGUGAUGGCUGUAGAGCUACGCUUUGCUAAACUAGGAAGCAAAGACGACCAGACCCUAGAAGACCUCUUCCCAUACAAUUAAAUUUGGUACUCUCUGAUCUCACUCUCUCUCUUUCCAAUCGUCUUCUUCUUCGUCACAUGUCUUAACAAGGAGGGGUUUGUUAUGAGCGACCUUUUUUUUGGAGGUGGUCUCGCUGGAAACUUACGUCGAGUUGUGUCACCCAGAGGACGCGGAUUCCUCACAGCACGGUUUAUAUUAUGAAUCUUCAAACUUGUUUCACAAUAUAAACCUUGCUGUGAGCAAUCUGCGUCAUCUGGGUGACACAACUCGACGUUUCCCUUUUCAGCUUUCUGAGAUUGUCUAGCUCGAUAGAAAGCAACUCAGUGGAGACAACAAGUUUCCAAAGAGACCACCUCCAAAGAAAAAACAGAAGGUCAAAGGGUCGUUCAUAACAAACCCCUCACUUAAGACAGAUGUGACGAAAAAGGAGGUAGCAGCAGCCAGCAGAAGCUCUAAAGCCGGCUCCGAAGCAAUCAUGUGACUGAGAUAAGGAAGGAUUUGACGAAAAAGGAGGCAGGAGCAGAAGCUCUAAAGGUUGCUCAGAAGCAAUCCCUGAUGUUUAGACAACCGUCCAAGGGUAAGAAAGUGACCUCCUCAUGUGUCCACCGACUUCGUAAGGGUUGUGCUUGGAGGUGGUCAAGACGCAUCAGCUGUGACUACCACUGAUCAUCGUGUUGGAAAGUUUGAAGCUAAGUUUUACAACAAGAUUCUUCAAGAGGAAAUAGGUGGUGUAAAAGGUCAGUUUGGACCUAUAAAUGCUUUGGCAUUCAAUCAUGAUGGCAGGAGUUUCUCUUGUGGAGGUGAAGACGGCUACGUGAGGCUGCAUCAUCUUUGACUUCGAUUAGUUCAACAUCAGGAUUUAGAUUCUUUGAAAAAGUCUUCCAUUAGAUUUUAUUUUCUCACCUUUUUAGCAUGUUUAUGUGUACUACUACGACCAAUACCUACACUUUGAUGAUAAAGCUUUUGAA